rnacentral:rRNA from 1 species
GACGAACGCUGGCGGCGUGCUUAACACAUGCAAGUCGAACGCUGAAGCUCAGCUUUUGUUGGGUGGAUGAGUGGCGAACGGGUGAGUAACACGUGAGUAACCUGCCUCCUUCUUUGGGAUAACGCCCGGAAACGGGUGCUAAUACUGGAUAUUCACUGGUCUUCGCAUGGGGGUUGGUGGAAAGGGUUUUUCUGGUGGGGGAUGGGCUCGCGGCCUAUCAGCUUGUUGGUGGGGUGAUGGCCUACCAAGGCUUUGACGGGUAGCCGGCCUGAGAGGGUGACCGGGAACAUUGGGACUGAGAUACGGCCCAGACUCCUACGGGAGGCAGCAGUGGGGAAUAUUGCACAAUGGGCGCAAGCCUGAUGCAGCGACGCCGCGUGAGGGAUGGGGGCCGUCGGGUUGUGAACCUCUUUCGCUCAUGGUAAAGCCGCAACAAUGAUUGUGGUGAGGGUAGUGGGUAAAGAAGCGCCGGCUAACUACGUG